GCACUUAUAGCCCAGUGGAUAGAGCGCUUGUUUGCGGAGCAAGAGGCCGGAGGUUCGAUUCCUCCUAAGUGCA
rnacentral:tRNA from 1 species